rnacentral:lncRNA from 1 species
CCAAAGGGAACAUCCAAUUAUGGCUAUCUAAAGCUAAGGCUACAGGCAUAUGUCCAUUCCACUGCUCAUUCAAAGCUGUGGAAUCUAUACUAAUGUAAGGUUUGCACCCAUACAAAAAUCCAUCUAUACUAUCUCUGAAAGCACAAAAAAAUCCGUUGAAAUGGUGCUUCUCUCCAAUUUUGACAGUAUCUAUCUCAACUACACUACCAGGCUGCCUCAACUCAACUUCUGCCUUAAACCUAUACAACCAAUCAAAUGAAUCAUCCCACUUACCAAAUAAUUUAUUAGCUGCUCUCUGCCUACCAUACCAAACUGUCUGGUAGUUCAUCUUAAUUUUGUACUUGUCCUCCAAUGCUUCCUUCACAUCUG